AUUUUUUUUUUUUUUUUUUGCUUCUCCAUUUUCGUUACUGUUGUAAAUUUUUUUCUUAGUUUAAUUCUUUCUGGCUAUUGGAACUUGAAUUUACUCCAAUGUGGGGAUCUUCUGUACUUCUAUUGCACAAUUAUUGUCAAAUGAAUAUGGAUGUGAUAUGUGUCAUUGUUUCUAUGGUGGACAGCAUUUUGGCAUCCGUGGGAGAUUUUCGAUGCCUAAUUUCAAGCAAUGCUAUUACCAUCCCAAUCAGUGGAUCCCAUCAUCUAAAGAUUCUUUC
rnacentral:misc_RNA from 1 species